rnacentral:rRNA from 1 species
AGCGAACGUUAGCGGCAGGCCUAACACAUGCAAGUCGCACGAGAAUCCGGCUUCGGCCGGUAGUAAAGUGGCGGACGGGUGAGUAACACGUGGAUAAUCUGCCCUUCGGCGGGGGACGAACAGUCCGAAAGGAUUGCUAAUACCGCAUACGUCGGCGAGGUCUUCGGAUCUUGUCGGGAAAGAUGGCCUCUUCAUGAAAGCUAUCACCGAAGGAUGAGUCCGCGUCCCAUCAGCUAGUUGGCGGGGUAA